rnacentral:rRNA from 1 species
AGAGUUUGAUCCUGGCUCAGGACGAACGCUGGCGGCGUGCUUAACACAUGCAAGUCGAGCGAUGAAACUUCCUUCGGGGAGUGGAUUAGCGGCGGACGGGUGAGUAACACGUGGGUAACCUGCCUCAAAGUGGGGGAUAGCCUUCCGAAAGGAAGAUUAAUACCGCAUAAUAUAAGAGAAUCGCAUGAUUUUCUUAUCAAAGAUUUAUUGCUUUGAGAUGGACCCGCGGCGCAUUAGCUAGUUGGUAAGGUAACGGCUUACCAAGGCAACGAUGCGUAGCCGACCUGAGAGGGUGAUCGGCCACAUUGGAACUGAGACACGGUCCAGACUCCUACGGGAGGCAGCAGUGGGGAAUAUUGCGCAAUGGGGGAAACCCUGACGCAGCAACGCCGCGUGGGUGAUGAAGGUCUUCGGAUUGUAAAGCCCUGUUUUCUAGGACGAUAAUGACGGUACUAGAGGAGGAAGCCACGGCUAACUACGUGCCAGCAGCCGCGGUAAUACGUAGGUGGCGAGCGUUGUCCGGAUUUACUGGGCGUAAAGGGUGCGUAGGCGGAUGUUUAAGUGGGAUGUGAAAUCCCCGGGCUUAACCUGGGGGCUGCAUUCCAAACUGGAUAUCUAGAGUGCAGGAGAGGAAAGCGGAAUUCCUAGUGUAGCGGUGAAAUGCGUAGAGAUUAGGAAGAACACCAGUGGCGAAGGCGGCUUUCUGGACUGUAACUGACGCUGAGGCACGAAAGCGUGGGUAGCAAACAGGAUUAGAUACCCUGGUAGUCCACGCCGUAAACGAUGGAUACUAGGUGUAGGGGGUAUCAACUCCCCCUGUGCCGCAGUUAACACAAUAAGUAUCCCGCCUGGGGAGUACGGUCGCAAGAUUAAAACUCAAAGGAAUUGACGGGGGCCCGCACAAGCAGCGGAGCAUGUGGUUUAAUUCGAAGCAACGCGAAGAACCUUACCUGGACUUGACAUCCCUUGCAUAGCCUAGAGAUAGGUGAAGCCCUUCGGGGCAAGGAGACAGGUGGUGCAUGGUUGUCGUCAGCUCGUGUCGUGAGAUGUUAGGUUAAGUCCUGCAACGAGCGCAACCCUUGUUAUUAGUUGCUACCAUUAAGUUGAGCACUCUAAUGAGACUGCCUGGGUAACCAGGAGGAAGGUGGGGAUGACGUCAAAUCAUCAUGCCCCUUAUGUCCAGGGCUACACACGUGCUACAAUGGUAGGUACAAUAAGACGCAAGACCGUGAGGUGGAGCAAAACUUAUAAAACCUAUCUCAGUUCGGAUUGUAGGCUGCAACUCGCCUACAUGAAGCUGGAGUUGCUAGUAAUCGCGAAUCAGAAUGUCGCGGUGAAUACGUUCCCGGGCCUUGUACACACCGCCCGUCACACCAUGAGAGCUGGUAACACCCGAAGUCCGUGAGGUAACCGUAAGGAGCCAGCGGCCGAAGGUGGGAUUAGUGAUUGGGGUGAAGUCGUAACAAGGUAGCCGUAGGAGAACCUGCGGCUGGAUCACCU